AAGCGACAAAUCCAUCAACGGUCCAAAUGCGACAGAAAGUGGACGGUCUGCAUUCGAUAUGUUAUAUGCAGUAACAAAAAACCGAUAUCGUCAAAUCGCUGUCGGUUUCUAUCUCUCUCUCGCUUCUCCUCGAAUCGUCCGGCCUGCAAAUCUCCCUUCUUCUGCGCUCUCCUUUCAACUGCUAGCAAACGACGUUUUUUUUCUUGAAGGUUGCAAGACUUAGCAAUGGCUACCGCUACAUACCCACCACCCCCACCUUAUUACAGACUGUACAAAGAUUACUUACAAAACCCUAAGUCCGCUCCUGAGCCUCCCCCUCCAAUUGAAGGGACCUAUGUCUGUUUUGGUGCCAAUUAUACUACAGAGUAUGUGCUUCCAAGCUUAGAAGAGCAAGGCGUGCGUCAGCUCUAUCCUAAGGGACCUAAUGUUGAUUUCAAGAAAGAACUGAGGUCACUUAAUAGAGAAUUGCAGCUGCACAUUUUGGAACUUGCUGAUGUUCUUGUUGAGAGACCAUCACAAUAUGCUAGGAGAGUGGAGGAUAUAUCUCUCAUAUUUAAGAACUUGCAUCACCUUCUAAAUUCUUUGCGGCCCCAUCAGGCUCGAGCCACGCUGAUUCAUAUUCUAGAGCUUCAGAUACAACGGCGUAAACAAGCUGUUGAGGAUAUUAAGGGGUGAAUUGUCAUGAAGCAUUGCCACAUCCUUAAGGGCUAUAAUUUUAUGUUAUUGUAUCGUCAUUAGUUGGCAAGUUUUGAUGUUGCUUUUGUUUUAUCUUUAGGAGGAGAGAAGAAGCACAGAAACUUCUCAAGGAGGCUCUCGGAACUUUAGAUGGCCAGAGUGCAUAAAUUGUUGGGCUUUAUAUUUCUGAAUAGAACGGUACAGUAAUUGCUGGAGAUUGAUUUGCCCUGUUCUUGUGGAGAUUUUCAGUACUUAUAGAUUACAGUUUCACCCAAAAUACUUGACAGUUUUCAAGGCUCAAGUUGAAUCAAGUACAUUGAAGUUUUAGUUGGCAUCUCGAGAGAGUUGAUACACAGGUAGUUUCAGUAGUGCAGUUAUGUUUUGUGUAACAGGAAACUCCUGGUUUUAGAUUAAAGAAAUUUAUGUCCUUGUAAAUCAACUCUUUGUAGAAACCCUAGUGCAAUUUUAAGAUGCUAUUCCUUAUGGUAGUGGCUGUAGCAAGUACUUAUCCUUUGCUAAUACUAACUUUUAACCUUCUUCUGAUGUAAUUGAACUUGCGGAUGCCAUUUUGAGAUUAAUCUAGCUUGUAUUGCAAUAUUGAUGAUUUUA